rnacentral:rRNA from 1 species
GAGUUUGAUCCUGGCUCAGAUUGAACGCUGGCGGCAUGCUUUACACAUGCAAGUCGAACGGCAGCACGGGGGCAACCCUGGUGGCGAGUGGCGAACGGGUGAGUAAUACAUCGGAACGUGUCCUGUGAUGGGGGAUAACCUGGCGAAAGCCAGGCUAAUACCGCAUAAGCUCGGAAGAGGAAAGCGGGGGACUCGCAAGAGCCUCGCGUCGAAGGAGCGGCCGAUGUCCGAUUAGCUAGUUGGUAGGGUAAAGGCCUACCAAGGCGACGAUCGGUAGCUGGUCUGAGAGGAUGAUCAGCCACACUGGGACUGAGACACGGCCCAGACUCCUACGGGAGGCAGCAGUGGGGAAUUUUGGACAAUGGGGGCAACCCUGAUCCAGCCAUGCCGCGUGAGUGAAGAAGGCCUCGGUGU